UACGUAGGGGGCAAGCGUUGUCCGGAAUCAUUGGGCGUAAAGCGCGCGUAGGCGGCCCGGUAAGUCCGCUGUAAAAGUCAAAGGCUCAACCUUUGAAUGCCGGUGGAUACUGUCGGGCUAGAGUCCGGAAGAGGAGAAUGGAAUUCCUGGUGUAGCGGUGAAAUGCGCAGAUAUCAGGAAGAACACCCGUGGCGAAGGCGGUUCUCUGGGACGGUACUGACGCUGAGACGCGAAAGCGUGGGGAGCGAACAGG
rnacentral:rRNA from 1 species